UACACGACCGUACCGCAAACCGACACUGGUGCGCGAGAUGAGUAUUCUAAGGCGCUUGAGAGGACUCAGGAGAAGGAACUCGGCAAAUUGACACCGUAACUUCGGAAGAAGGUGUGCCUUUAGUAGGUGAACCAUUUACUUGGGGAGCCCAAUGAGGUUGCAAAGAAUCGGUGGCUGCGACUGUUUAUUAAAAACACAGCACUCUGCUAAGACGAAAGUCGACGUAUAGGGUGUGACGCCUGCCCGGUGCUGGAAGAUUAAAUGAUGGGGUGCAAGCUCUUGAUUGAAGUCCCAGUAAACGGCGGCCGUAACUAUAACGGUCCUAAGGUAGCGAAAUUCCUUGUCGGGUAAGUUCCGACCUGCACGAAUGGCGUAACGAUGGCCACACUGUCUCCUCCUGAGACUCAGCGAAGUUGAAAUGUUUGUGAUGAUGCAAUCUCCCCGCGGAAAGACGGAAAGACCCCAUGAACCUUUACUGUAGCUUUGUAUUGGACUUUGAACAGACCUGUGUAGGAUAGGUGGGAGGCUUUGAAGUGUGGUCGCUAGAUCGCAUGGAGCCAACGUUGAAAUACCACCCUGGUGUGUUUGAGGUUCUAACCUUGGUCCAUUAUCUGGAUCGGGGACAGUGCAUGGUAGGCAGUUUGACUGGGGCGGUCUCCUCCCAAAGUGUAACGGAGGAGUUCGAAGGUACGCUAGUUACGGUCGGACAUCGUGACGAUAGUGCAAUGGCAUAAGCGUGCUUAACUGCGAGACUGACAAGUCGAGCAGAUGCGAAAGCAGGACAUAGUGAUCCGGUGGUUCUGUAUGGAAGGGCCAUCGCUCGACGGAUAAAAGGUACUCUUGGGAUAACAGGCUGAUACCGCCCAAGAGUUCAUAUCGACGGCGGUGUUUGGCACCUCGAUGUCGGCUCAUCUCAUCCUGGGGCUGUAGCCGGUCCCAAGGGUAUGGCUGUUCGCCAUUUAAAGAGGUACGUGAGCUGGGUUUAAAACGUCGUGAGACAGUUUGGUCCCUAUCUUCCGUGGGCGCUGCAGAUUUGAGGAAGCCUGCUCCUAGUACGAGAGGACCGGAGUGGACGAACCUCUGGUGUAUCGGUUGUCACGCCAGUGGCAUUGCCGAGUAGCUAAGUUCGGAAGAGAUAACCGCUGAAAGCAUCUAAGCGGGAAACUCGUUUCAAGAUUAGAUCUGCCGGGGCCUUGAGCCCCCUGAAGAGUCGUUCAAGACCAGGACGUUGAUAGGUCAGGUGUGGAAGCGCAGUAAUGCGUUAAGCUAACUGAUACUAAUUGCUCGUGCGGCUUGACCCU
rnacentral:rRNA from 1 species